UACGGGGGGGGUAAGCGUUGUUCGGAAUUACUGGGCGUAAAGGGCUCGUAGGCGGCCAACUAAGUCAGACGUGAAAUCCCUCAGCUUAACUGGGGAACUGCGUCUGAUACUGGAUGGCUUGGAUUCGGGAGAGGAAUGCGGAAUUCCAGGUGUAGUGGUGAAAUGCGUAGAUAUCGGGAGGAACACCAGUGGCGAAGGCAGCCCCCUGGGUCAAGAUUGACGCUCAUGCACGAAAGCGUGGGGAGCAAACAGG
rnacentral:rRNA from 1 species